UACGGGGGGGGCAAGCGUUGUUCGGAAUUACUGGGCGUAAAGCGCGUGUAGGCGGCUUUUCAAGUCGGACGUGAAAGCCCUGGGCUUAACCCAGGAACUGCGUUUGAUACUGUUAAGCUAGAGUGUGGAAGGGGCUACUGGAAUUCCGUGUGUAGCGGUGAAAUGCGUAGAUAUACGGAGGAACACCUGCGGCGAAGGCGGGUCUCUGGACAGUUCCUGACACUGAGGCACGAAGGCCAGGGGAGCAAACGGG
rnacentral:rRNA from 1 species